GGAAUUGUUCGCAAUGGGCGCAAGCCUGACGACGCAACGCCGCGUGGAGGAUGAAGAUCUUCGGGUCGUAAACUCCUGUCGAGCGGGAAGAACGUUUCGUGGAUGAAUACGCCACGGAAGUGACGGUACCGCUACAGGAAGCCCCGGCUAACUCCGUGCCAGCAGCCGCGGUAAUACGGGGGGGGCAAGCGUUGUUCGGAAUUACUGGGCGUAAAGGGCUCGUAGGUGGCCAACUAAGUCAGACGUGAAAUCCCCAGGCUCAACUUGGGAACUGCGUCUGAUACUGGAUGGCUUGAAUUCGGGAGAGGGAUGCAGAAUUCCAGGUGUAGCGGUGAAAUGCCUAGAUAUCUGGAGGAAUACCGGUGGCGAAGGCGGCAUCCUGGACCGAGAUUGACACUGAUGAGCGAAAGCCAGGGGAGCAAAC
rnacentral:rRNA from 1 species